ensembl:lncRNA
CUGCGAUGAAUCCAAGAGGUCAUGAGAUCAUUAGAGGAGAAAUUAGAGCUGUGAUGCACGACGUUUCCUUCAUUUGUUCUCCUCACAUCCCUCGUGUGUCAGAGGCGAUCGCUGCGUUUCUCACAACUAGUGGCAACAAUUCCAAAAAAGAAGAGAUCUUUUCAGUUUCUGCCAUCUGGAACGCUCCUCAGAGUCUCACCUGCUGCCACCGAUCCUCCUCCGAAAGGAGGAAAAAGGUGAAUCUCUGCCGGAGGAGCACAGGACGAGACUUGGCGGAGACAUCUGCGCGUCUCCAUUCUUCACUUCAUUUCCUGUUUGUUUGGUCUCGACCCGGCGGGCGAAACUCCGCAGAGAGACGGACAUCGACAGCAGG